rnacentral:rRNA from 1 species
UAAAAUUAAAUAAUUGAAAUAAUUAAAUAUAAAUGGUUUUAUAGUAUAAGGAAAGAUUUUGUAAAUAAAUUAAUAUAGUUUGUUUUGUAAUAAUUAUUUUUAAAUAAAGUAAUAUUAAAAUUUUUAGUUAAAGUAUAAAGUGAGAAUUAAUAAAAUUAAUGUUAUUGAUAGUAAUGAAAAUGAUUUUUAAAGAAAAGAAAAAAGUAAAUUUUAUAUAUUGUACCUUUUGUAUAAGGGUUAAUUAAAAAAAAUAUUUAAAUUUAAAUAUUUCUCGAAUUUAAUAGAUUUAUUUAAAAAUUUUAGUUAGUGUAGAAAUAUUAUUAAUAAUUUUUAAAUAGAAGUGAAAUGUUAACCGAUUUUAAAUAUAUCUAGUUUUUUUAGAAUUGAAUAUAAUUCAGAUUUAUAAAUUAUAAGAAUAAAAAUUAUUUUUAUGAGUAUAAGUUUAUAAAUUAAUUAUUUUUGGGAUAAACUAAAGAUAUAUAAAUAACUUAAAAAUUAAAUAAAUAGUAGAAAUAUCUAUAAAAUUUGGAUUUUUUAAAAAAAAUGUUAUAAUUUAUAUAUUAAUGUAAUAAUAAUAGAUUUGAUAUAGAGUUUUUAUUUAUAUAAAAAAAAAUUAUUUAAUAAAAAAAUUAAAUGUUAUAAUGAUUAAAUUAGUAAAUUUAUAAUUGUAUAAUUAAUUAAUUAUUUCAAAAUUAUAUUAAGGAAUUUGACAAAAAUUUUAUUAAUAUAAAGAUAUAUUCACCUGUUUAUCAAAAACAUGGCUUAUUUGAUAAUAAAUAAUAGGUCUAUUCUGCCCAUUGAUUAAGAUUAAAAGGCUGCAGUAUAUUGACUGUACAAAGGUAGCAAAAUCAUUUGUUUUUUAAUUGAAAACUGGAAUGAAAGAGUGAAUGAAAUAUAAAUUGUCUCAGUAUAAUGAUAUUGAAUUUAAAUUAAAAGUUAAAAUGCUUUUAUGAAUUUAUAAGACGAUAAGACCCUAUAGAAUUUAAUAAAAUUUGUUUUUUAAAAUUAAUUUUUUGAUAAGAUUUAACUGACAAAUAUAUUUUAUUGGGAGGAUAAUUAAAAUAGCUAAACUUUAAUAGGAUUAAAACAUAGAUUAAUGAGUAGUUUGAUUAUUAUUAUAAUUAUUAGAAUAAAUUACCUUAGGGAUAACAGCGUUAUAAUUUUGGAGAGUUCAUAUUGAUAAAAUUGUUUGCGACCUCGAUGUUGAAUUAUGAUAAAAAUUAAAUGGAGAAAUUUAAAUUUUUAGUCUGUUCGACUAUUAAAAUCAUACAUGAUUUGAGUUCAGAUCGGUGAAAGCCAGAUCGGUUUCUAUCUAUAAAAAAAGUAUAUUUUAUUGUACGAAAGGACUUAAAAUAUUAAAUAUUUUAUAAUAAAGAUUAAUAAAAAGUUAAUUUUAAUGAAUAAAAUUAAAUUAUGAAUUUAUAGUGCUAGAGCGGGUAGUGUAUAAAUAAAAAACUUUAAAAUAUUUAUUUAAAAAUAAAUUAUAUUGGAAGGUAAG